GACGUAGGGGGCCAGCGUUGUUCGGAAUUACUGGGUGUAAAGGGUUCGUAGGCGGUGCGGCAAGUCGGGAGUGAAAUCUCUGGGCUCAACCCAGAGGCUGCUUCCGAAACUGCUGUGCUUGAGUGUGGGAGAGGCGCGUGGAAUUGCAGGUGUAGCGGUGAAAUGCGUAGAUAUCUGCAGGAACACCCGUGGCGAAAGCGGCGCGCUGGACCACUACUGACGCUGAGGAACGAAAGCUAGGGGAGCAAACAGG
rnacentral:rRNA from 1 species